GUUUCCGUAUUGUAGCGGUCAUCACAUGCGCUUUAGGCGUGCAAAGUGCCCAGUUCGACCCUGGGCAGAAGCG
rnacentral:tRNA from 1 species